rnacentral:rRNA from 1 species
UACGGGGGGGGGCAAGCGUUGUUCGGAAUUACUGGGCGUAAAGGGCUCGUAGGUGGCCAACUAAGUCAGACGUGAAAUCCCUAGGCUCAACCUAGGAACUGCACCUGAAACUGCUGGCCUUGAGUGGUGGAGAGGAAAGCAGAAUUCCUGGUGUAGAGGUGAAAUUCGUAGAUAUCAGGAGGAACACCGGUGGCGAAGGCGGCUUUCUGGACACUUACUGACGCUGAGACGCGAAAGCGUGGGGAGCAAACAGG